GAAUGACUGGCCGAACUUCCACCACGCCGGCACGAUGUUCUGGAAGACGAGGGUCUGGCCGCCGGUGGAGGUGACGCCGAAGGUGAGCGUCUGGCCGACGAGGCCGGCGUGCGACUGCCAGUUCGCGCCCCAGUUCCUGCUCAGGGGCAUCCUGUCGGUGUUCGGCCCCUUCACCCACACCGACUGGAUCGACCCGCUCCCGGCCACGUUCGAGAUCAGCACCAGCUCGAAGUAGUUGAACCCUCCCAUGGUGAACCGAACCCCUCCCUGCUUCACGCACGGCACCCUACAUACCACCGGCACGAUACCGGCCUUGUAGAUGCCGAUCUGGAGCCAGGCGGGCUCGGCCAUGUCGAAGUGCGUGCGAGGCGGGUUGCACCAGCCGCCGUCGUUGCUGGAGAGGGCGUAGUUGGGCGGGCACAGGUUGGUCCCGGUGAUGGUCACCGUCCUCCCCUGCAGGCACCACCGCGGCUCGGCCUGGUGGUCGCACGCGAUCUGGUAGCACUGCCCGCACGACGCGCCGUCGUUGAACAGCGCCGAGCUCAGCGCCGCCGUGUUCGUCCCG
rnacentral:sRNA from 1 species